rnacentral:lncRNA from 1 species
AAUAAAAAUUGUCCUCAAUAUUUGUGGUCAAAGAGCCCUUGAUGCCUGACUAUUUUACUCCUGUGAAUUUGGAAAGGCGGUUAUCAUCUGUGGCAUCAUUGGAGACAAUGGAUCAAUGAAUGCUUGAGAAAAAAUGUUCUUGAUUAUUUCUGUUCCUGCCACAUACUGAUCCUCAUCUGUCUUGUGUGGGCAUGAGAGGGAAAUCCUGUUACUACAGCAGAGCGCACACAAUGGUUUGUAUUUUUGUGAUUUACUCACAGGACGCACAUGGUGUAUUGUUUUGUGAGGGGAAUUGCAUGUAGGAGUGUGAGAGCUAUUUGUAAUCCUGCUCUUCCAAUUGUGCGUCUUCAGCAGCUCCCUGAGGGAUUCUCUGUAUUUUAGAAUGGCGAGACUCUUAGUAGCCUACUUGAGGCCAAAUGCUUGUUUAUAGAAACAAGGUGGUGUGGAUUAAAGUCUUUUAAUCAGGAGGAUAACUUCUGCCCUUUCUCACUUACCUUUCUGAGCAUGCUACUUGAACCCACACUUGGGUGGUGGUUGUUGUUGUUAUUGUUGUUAUUAUUAUUGUUCUUUUGUUGUUCAUCAUUCCAAAUUUAGGGCUUUAUCUCUCAGUUCCUAGUCUUCUAUGGGAUAUUUUUAUUUCUUCCAUUCAUAUCUUGUUGUCCUUUAGAUAAAGGCUUAUAGAAAAACUAAUUAAGAUAAUAUUCUUAGUUUUUACAUAUAAUGCUUUAUUAUAAACAUGCUAAAUUCGUGAGAUGGUGAAAUUUCUUUUUUAAUAGAAAUGUUAUUUGCAUACAAAUAACUCAUGGAAUAGAAGUGUGUGGGUACUUAUGUAUUGAGUUAUUUGUGUGUGUGUGUCUCACUUUGUGUGUGUGUAUGUGUGUGUGUGUGUGUGUGUGUAUCGUGAUGUACACAUGGAAGACAAGGGACACGUAGGAGAAGCCAGUUUUCUUCCUCACCUCAGGGACCCUGGGGAUUGAACUCUGGCUGUCAGGCUUGACCGAAAGUGCCUUUUCCUGCUGAGCUGUCUUGCCACUCUACCUCCCAGAGUUGUAUCUGCCCUUUAACCACUUUCAACCCGUCAGGAAGGCUUUCUGUAGUACACAGUGCCUUCUGUUUCUAGAUCUGGUUUGGCUGUCAUGCCUUAGGGCAGGUGAAUCUAUCUCACCUGCAGCUUUAGAACGCAAUGUCCAAGCUCGCUCCCUCUUACUAGUGCCAUGCUUCUUGACUGGGACACAGCGUGAUUUGUUUUCCUAUGUGCUUCCCUGUUGCUUCUUUGUUUUUGUUGUUGUCGUUUUUGUUUGUUUUGGUUUUGUUUUUCUUUCUAAUGUCUUUACUCUCGUUCCUUAAGUAUGGGGAUCCAUAGCUUAGUGCCCUGUGCUGAACAGUCAUGUGAUGGUCUCGAGGAUUUUAUUUAUAAAGUCUUCAGCGCUGUUUCCAAAAAUCUAUUACAUUACCUGACCCCUGUCAUUACCCCAUGUUGAUACAGUAUUUGCAUACAAAAAAUAUUUUCCUCACCCAGAAUGCAAAAAAGCGUAGUUGGAGUGUGAGUGAUUAGCAGUGUUGGGAAGUUCAUCUAAACAGCAUCUGCAUCAUUUCUUCCAUAUUUCUUGCCUAUUUUUCCUCAUUGUUUUUCCCGUCUUGGCAAGCACCUGACUCUUAGGACAAAGCUAUCUGUGGUGCAGUUUACUUCUUCCCAAAGCCAUCUGUAGCUUCAAAUAGUAUUCACAAUAAAGGUUUUGGAGUUGUAUUCGGAGUUGUCAGCCAUUGUUUUAUUUCUGACUUUUGAGUCUAUACCUACGCAGCCUCUGGCACAGUGUUGGCUCUACCCAUAGAAGCUCUGCCAGGCGGCUCUACCUGUAGGAAGAGUUGCCGAAGGUGUGUAACCUGCUCUGAGCGCUACCUUUCACUGGGUAUUUACUCCUCCAUUUUGCUUUAUGAGCACAACAGCCAACUGUCACUAUUUGGUGUAAAUUGAAGCUUUUCAUAACUAUGUCUGUUCUACAACAUUUGUCAGCUUUGAAUAUUCUGUCAGUAGAAAAUAAAAAUAGCAGGGAUCCCAGCGGCAGUGACACCACGGAUUUAUCUGCUUAUGCAAAAGGAAGGUAAAAACUAUAAUCUUGAGGGGGGCACAUGUGGCAGUUUUCCUUCAAAUGGUAGAAAUCUGAAUAGACUUUUCCUCAGAUAUAGUUUCUAUGAAUCGUUGCCAAAAUCAAUGAGUGGGUAAGGUUGUGUCAUUAAAUGCAGAGUCCUUUGAGCCUAG